rnacentral:tRNA from 2 species
GGGCGCAUAGCUCAGAUGGUAGAGCAGCUGACUCUUAAUCAGCGGGUCCAAGGUUCGAGUCCUUGUGCGCCCA